GGAGGGGUGGCAGAGCGGUCGAAUGCGGCGGUCUCGAAAACCGUUUCGGGCGGUUCCGUCCGACGAGAGUUCGAAUCUCUCCCCCUCCG
rnacentral:tRNA from 1 species